UACAGAGGUCUCAAGCGUUGUUCGGAUUCAUUGGGCGUAAAGGGUGCGUAGGCGGCGCGGUAAGUCGGGUGUGAAAUCUCGGGGCUUAACUCCGAAACUGCAUUGGAUACUGCCUUGCUUGAGUACUGGAGAGGGAACUGGAAUUUACGGUGUAGCAGUGAAAUGCGUAGAGAUCGUAAGGAAGGCCAGUGGCGAAGGCGAGUUCCUGGACAGUGACUGACGCUGAGGCACGAAGGCCAGGGGAGCAAACGGG
rnacentral:rRNA from 1 species